rnacentral:ncRNA from 1 species
GUGUUCCUUCGGGGCAGGGUGUAAUUCCCUACCGGCGGUGAUGGACCUAUGUUGUGUCCUUAGUCCGUGACCCGGCGAUGCCGGUGGAUUUGGUGAAACUCCAAAGCCGACAGUGAGAGUCUGGAUGAGAGAAGGAAAUA